rnacentral:lncRNA from 1 species
CUGUCUUCAUCGUCUAGCCUCCUGUGACAAUUCCCAUUGGUGCUGGCUUCUUGCACAAGGCAUGAGGGUGGUGCACUGUAAAGGACACAGACCGGGAGCUGGGAGCCUGGACUGAAAAGCUAUGUCAUCUGAGGCCCUCACCUCUCCUCUGAUUUAUGAGGAUGGUGAAGAGUGGAGAGGGGUUCCCAGCAAAGGAUUUAGCAUGAGUAAAAUCAAGGAGGGAUAGAAGAACCAUCCUGAGCUAGAGGAGGUUUGAGAAGGAGAAUACUGAGAGGCUACCCUUUCAGACAGAGCACAGAGCAGACAUUUAACCAACUUAGUCACAAUACGUCAAGGGAGGAGAAAGAAGCCCACAUUGUGUGCCCUUUCUAGGCAUUUGCAUUAUUCUAAAUGUCUUGCACCUUUAAUAUGUUUCCA